rnacentral:rRNA from 1 species
UAGGGAAUCUUCCGCAAUGGACGCAAGUCUGACGGAGCAACGCCGCGUGAGUGAAGAAGGAUUUCGGUUCGUAAAACUCUGUUGUUAGAGAAGAACAGCGCAUAGAGUAACUGUUAUGCGUGUGACGGUAUCUAACCAGAAAGCCACGGCUAACUACGUGCCAGCAGCCGCGGUAAUACGUAGGUGGCAAGCGUUGUCCGGAUUUAUUGGGCGUAAAGCGAGUGCAGGCGGUCAAUUAAGUCUGAUGUGAAAGCCCCCGGCUCAACCGGGGAGGGUCAUUGGAAACUGGUUGACUUGAGUGCAGAGGAGGAGAGUGGAAUUCCAUGUGUAGCGGUGAAAUGCGUAGAUAUAUGGAGGAACACCAGUGGCGAAGGCGACUCUCUGGUCUGUAACUGACGCUGAGGCUCGAAAGCGUGGGUAGCAAACAGG